rnacentral:tRNA from 1 species
GAAUAUGAAGCGAUAAAUUGCAAUUAGUUUCGACCUAAUCUUAGGUAAAUUAC